rnacentral:rRNA from 1 species
CAGUCGAACGAAGUUUUUCUUUCGGGAGGAACUUAGUGGCGGACGGGUGAGUAACCCGUGAGUAACCUGCCCUGUACAGGGGGACAACAGCUGGAAACGGCUGCUAAUACCGCAUAAGCCCUUAGCACUGCAUGGUGCAUAGGGAAAAGGAGCAAUCCGGUACAGGAUGGACCCGCGUCUGAUUAGCCAGUUGGCAGGGUAACGGCCUACCAAAGCGACGAUCAGUAGCCGAUCUGAGAGGAUGUACGGCCACAUUGGGACUGAGACACGGCCCAGACUCCUACGGGAGGCAGCAGUGGGGAAUAUUGCACAAUGGAGGAAACUCUGAUGCAGCGACGCCGCGUGAGUGAAGAAGUAUUUCGGUAUGUAAAGCUCUAUCAGCAGGGAAGAAAAUGACGGUACCUGACUAAGAAGCACCGGCUAAAUACGUGCCAGCAGCCGCGGUAAUACGUAUGGUGCAAGCGUUAUCCGGAUUUACUGGGUGUAAAGGGAGCGUAGGUGGCAAGGCAAGCCAGAAGUGAAAACCCGGGGCUCAACCGCGGGAUUGCUUUUGGAACUGUCAUGCUAGAGUGCAGGAGGGGUGAGCGGAAUUCCUAGUGUAGCGGUGAAAUGCGUAGAUAUUAGGAGGAACACCAGAGGCGAAGGCGGCUCACUGGACUGUAACUGACACUGAGGCUCGAAAGCGUGGGGAGCAAACAGGAUUAGAUACCCUGGUAGUCCACGCGGUAAACGAUGAAUACUAGAUGUCGGGUAGCAAAGCUCUUCGGUGCCGCAGCAAACGCAAUAAGUA